rnacentral:rRNA from 1 species
UACGGAGGAUGCAAGCGUUAUCCGGAAUGAUUGGGCGUAAAGGGUCCGCAGGUGGCAAUGUGUGUCUGCUGUCAAAGAAUGAGGCUUAACCUCAUCAAGGCAGUGGAAACUACAUAGCUAGAGUACGGUCGGGGUAGAAGGAAUUCCUGGUGUAGCGGUGAAGUGCGUAGAGAUCAGGAAGAACACCGGUGGCGAAAGCGUUCUGCUAGACCUGUACUGACACUGAGGGACGAAAGCUAGGGGAGCGAAUGGG